CUCCAGACAGGGCAAAGAUGUGGUCCAUGGAUGCUGUGGAUUGGCCAUGACCAGGCUCUCAGGUGACUCCACUCAUGUGAUUUUCACAGAAAGACUGCUGUCUGACCAGUGAGCAGCACAGGGCACUGUGGGUCAGACUCAGUGUCCGCAUGGUGGAAACCCAAAACUUGCAACCUCCCAAACUCCCCAGGGCUGGGAAGAUGGUGUCUGCGCUCACUGACACAGAUUUAGCAGCUGGAUAUGGUCCCAGCACCCCCACCUUCUUCCAUGUCCUGCCUGCCAGCCUCCCCCUCCAACAGCUCCCAGGUACCAACAGCUGGGAUAUCAGUAUCCCAGAUACUGAUAAAUCCAUGGGGAGAGUUGGGGGCAGGCAGUGGGAGCAACAUAUUUGCAUCCAUAACCCCUCCUCUGUGAAGUCACUGAAGGGGAUAAGAGAGGCCUGGAGAAGCCACUCCAGCUCUGGACGUCAGGAGGGCUGCUUCCACCAUGGCCUGGGCACCUGUUCUCCUGCUGAUAUUCUAUUAUUUCUCAGGUGGUGCCAGUGAGGAAAGUUCUUCCUCAUGAAUAUGAGUAUUUUGGAGCAUGAAACAGCUGAGCCAAUCUGGGGAGGGCAGGCAACCCCUUGUGAUGGUGGCCAGUUUGCUUGAUUGGGAUUGUCACCGACCAUGUGACAAUGGGAUUAUGUUGCAUAUCAUAGAUGCCCUGGACCCUCAAGCGUGCUGGGGAACUCUGGUUAAAGAAUAGAAUUGAUCCCUUUGUUCAUAUUCACUAUGCUGGAUGCCCUGUUGAGUCCCCUGCAGGACGCUAAACCUCUGACUGCGGCAGCCUUCCCCUUUGAUCUGAAGCUGUUAUCAUACACUGUUCUGCUCAGGGGAUUUGUGUGGGGUGUUACUCUUACAUAGCAUCACAAGAAGGGGAUUCUCUGGAGACUAAAUGCAAACUGGAACAUCUCCUGGAGGCUGUCCCCUUGAUUGUUUGGGAAAUAUGAAGAGACUAUGGGUGCUCUGUGUUUAAAAUAAAACCUCAGAG
rnacentral:lncRNA from 1 species